rnacentral:rRNA from 1 species
UCCUACGGGAGGCAGCAGUGGGGAAUAUUGCACAAUGGGCGCAAGCCUGAUGCAGCCAUGCCGCGUGUGUGAAGAAGGCCUUCGGGUUGUAAAGCACUUUCAGUCGUGAGGAAGGUGGUGUAGUUAAUAGCUGCAUUAUUUGACGUUAGCGACAGAAGAAGCACCGGCUAACUCCGUGCCAGCAGCCGCGAUAAUAAGUACGUGCCCCCCGCCGCGGUAAU